GACGAACCGUACAAACCUUAUUCGGAAUCACUGGGCUUAAAGGGUGCGUAGGCGGCGCUGAAAGUUGGGUGUGAAAUCCCUCGGCUCAACCGAGGAACUGCGCCCAAAACUACAGUGCUCGAGGGAGAUAGAGGUGAGCGGAACUUAGGGUGGAGCGGUGAAAUGCGUUGAUAUCCUAAGGAACGCCAGGGGCGAAAGCGGCUCACUGGAUCUCUUCUGACGCUGAGGCACGAAAGCUAGGGUAGCGAACGGG
rnacentral:rRNA from 1 species